rnacentral:rRNA from 1 species
GUUAGGAAUAUUGGACAAUGGGCGAAAGCCUGAUCCAGCCAUGCCGCGUGAACGAUGAAGGCCUUCGGGUUGUAAAGUUCUUUAGCCGAUGAUUAUAAUGACUGUAGUCGGAAAAUAAGCCCCGGCUAACUUCGUGCCAGCAGCCGCGGUAAUACGAAGGGGGCGAGCGUUAUUCGGAAUCACUGGGCGUAAAGCGUGCGUAGGCGGUUUUGUAAGUUAGGAGUGAAAGCCCAGGGCUCAACCUUGGAAUUGCUCUUAAAACUGCAAGGCUCGAAUCUCGGAGAGGAUAGCGGAAUUUCCAGUGUAACAGUGAAAUGCGUAGAUAUUGGAAGGAACACCAGUGGCGUAAGCGGCUAUCUGGACGAGUAUUGACGCUGAGGCACGAAAGCGUGGGGAUCAAACAGGAUUAGAUACCCCAGUAGUCC